UCUUCCCAGUAGCAGAACAGAGACAAUGUGGAUAGCAUCCUAGGCUUGGAACCGGGAAAAUCUGGCUUCCAAUUCUAUCCCAGACACUUUGUAGUUGUGCGCCUGUGGGCACAGAUCCUCUGUUUCCUCAUCAGUGAAAGGGCACAAAAUGGUACAUAAAGUACCUACCUCAAAGGGUUAUUAUGAGGUUAAUAGGAGAUAGUAUAUGUAAAGAACUUCAAACAUACAAUCAAAGAUUUAAAGCAUAAAGGAGUAUUAGAGGUCCUCUAGCCUCAUUUUAUUUAAGUAACUUUCCAACUUCACCCAGAUGGUAUGUGAUAGAGCUGGGAUUCAAACUCAGGUCCUCUGAUUCCAAAUCCAGCACUUUUCCCACUGUACCAAGCUUCCAUGCCAAUAAAUGUCAGUUAUUAUUAUCUGGAUCUCAGGAGCUUGCCUCUGUUGCCAUUUCUGUGCUGUAGUGACCUGCCAAAGAACCCCACGGGUCAGAGGUGGAGGUAGAACAGACCAAUGGAAAGAGAGCGACAUUUCAAUGGGAGUUUGCCCUCUGGCUAGCAUGGUACCCUGGGAAAAGCACUUCGGAGAGGACCCAGAAGACCUACCCUCAAAUCCUAACCAGGAGAGAGUCAAACAAGAACUGGUGGAGCCUGAAAUCUCCUAUGGAAGGCGUUGAAGAGCCUACUUCCAGAAAUGCCCAAUGAUGUAUAAUGAAGACACCCUAAUUCCCCUUUGAAGUGUGGUAACCAUUCAGGUCUAUUAACUACACUGUAAAGAGUACUUGACUACUUGACUGGCUGUGGGGUCAAAAUUGAAGUGCAUAAAGAAGGGACAAACCAGCCAAAGCAAAUCUCUUACUCUCAUUCUCUUUCCUUACUGGCAGCAUCUGAGGAAAGAAAAAUUCUGUAAGCCUCUGAAGGGCAGAGGCUUUCUCAUCUUAGUCCAACAUCCGAUCCAUGAAUAAAACCUUCUCUUCUUUCC